UUGACCUCAAAUCGGGUGAGACUACCCGCUGAACUUAAGCAUAUCAAUAAGCGGAGGAAAAGAAACUAACAAGGGAUUCCCCUAGUAACUGCGAGUGAAGCGGGAAAAGCUCAAUUUAAAAUCUGGUGGCUUUGGUCAUCCGAGUUGUAAUUAGAGAAGCGUCUUCCGCGCUGGACCGUGCACAAGUCUCCUGGAAUGG
rnacentral:rRNA from 1 species